UACGUAGGGUGCAAGCGUUAAUCGGAAUUACUGGGCGUAAAGCGUGCGCAGGCGGUUUUGUAAGUCAGAUGUGAAAUCCCCGGGCUUAGCCUGUGAACUGCGUUUGAAACUACAAGGCUAGAGUGUGGCAGAGGGGGGUGGAAUUCCACGUGUAGCAGUGAAAUGCGUAGAGAUGUGGAGGAACACCGAUGGCGAAGGCAGCCCCCUGGGUUAACACUGACGCUCAGGCACGAAAGCGUGGGGAGCAAACAGG
rnacentral:rRNA from 1 species